rnacentral:rRNA from 1 species
AUAAGAGGUCCCGCCUGCCCUGUGACUAUAUGUUUAACGGCCGCGGUAUUUUGACCGUGCGAAGGUAGCGCAAUCACUUGUCUUUUAAAUGGAGACCUGUAUGAAAGGCACCACGAGGGCUUAGCUGUCUCCCCUUUAAAGUCAAUGAAAUUGAUCUCCCCGUGCAGAAGCGGGGAUAUGCUCGUAAGACGAGAAGACCCUAUGGAGCUUAAGAUACAAGGCGAGUCGUGUCAAACACCCCCUUAAAGGAAAUGAACGAAGUGAACUCCGCUGGAAUGUCUUCGGUUGGGGCGACCGCGGGGAAAGACAAAACCCCCACAUGGACCAGGGCCACUAUAGCCCUAAAACCCAGACCCACAGGUCGAAUCAACAGUAAAUCUGACCACCAAAGAGCCGGCAAUGCCGAUCGACGGACCAAGUUACCCUAGGGAUAACAGCGCAAUCCCCUCCCAGAGCCCUUAUCGACGAGGGGGUUUACGACCUCGAUGUUGGAUCAGGACAUCCUAAUGGUGCAGCCGCUAUUAAGGGUUCGUUUGUUCAACGAUUAAAGUCC